UACGUAGGUGACAAGCGUUGUCCGGAUUUACUGGGCGUAAAGAGCGCGCAGGCGGUCGAUCAAGUCGAGUGUGAAAGCCCCCGGCUCAACUGGGGAGGGUCAUUCGAUACUGAUCGACUCGAAGGCAGGAGAGGGUAGUGGAAUUCCGGGUGGAGCGGUGAAAUGCGUAGAGAUCCGGAGGAACACCGGUGGCGAAGGCGGCACCCUGGGCCAGUCCUGACGCUGAGGCGCGAAAGCGUGGGGAGCAAACAGG
rnacentral:rRNA from 1 species